rnacentral:rRNA from 1 species
UGGGGAAUAUUGCACAAUGGGCACAAGCCUGAUGCAGCCAUGCCGCGUGUAUGAAGAAGGCCUUCGGGUUGUAAAGUACUUUCAGCGGGGAGGAAGGGAGUAAAGUUAAUACCUUUGCUCAUUGACGUUACCCGCAGAAGAAGCACCGGCUAACUCCGUGCCAGCAGCCGCGGUAAUACGGAGGGUGCAAGCGUUAAUCGGAAUUACUGGGCGUAAAGCGCACGCAGGCGGUUUGUUAAGUCAGAUGUGAAAUCCUCGGGCUCAACCUGGGAACUGCAUCUGAUACUGGCAAGCUUGAGUCUCGUAGAGGGGGGUAGAAUUCCAGGUGUAGCGGUGAAAUGCGUAGAGAUCUGGAGGAAUACCGGUGGCGAAGGCGGCCCCCUGGACGAAGACUGACGCUCAGGUGCGAAAGCGUGGGGAGCAAACAGG